rnacentral:rRNA from 1 species
AAUAAAUAAAGAUAAAUAAUUUUUAUAGAAUAUUAAAUGUUAAAACAUUAAAAUUAUAAGAUUUGGCGGUAUUUUAUAAAAUUAGAGGAAUCUGUAAAAUAAUUGAUAAUCCACGAUAAGAGAAACUUAUUUUUAAAAUUUAUGUAUUGCUGUUUAAAAAAUUUUAUUAAGUAAAAUUUUAUAUUUAAUAUAUUAUUUUAAUUCAAGUCAAAAUAUAGUAUAAUUAAGAUAUUUAUGGAUUACAAUUUUUUAAAAUAAUGGUUAUAUUUAUUUAAUUAAAUAUAUAAAUUGGAUUUAAUAGUAAAAUUAAUAAAUUAAUUAAUUUGGAUAAAUUUUUAUAUAAAAUAUGU